GUCGAACGAGAAAGCCCUUCGGGGUUAGUAAAGUGGCGAACGGGUGAGUAACACGUGGGCAAUCUGCCCUUCGUUGGGGGACAACCGGGGGAAACCCCGGCUAAUACCCCGUAAGCUUGUCGGGUCGCAUGGCCUGACAAGGAGAGGUAGCUUCGGCCAUCCGGCGAAGGAGGAGCCCGCGGUACAUUAGCUAGUUGGUGAGGUAACGGCUCACCAAGGCUACGAUGUAUAGCUGGUCUGAGAGGAUGAUCAGCCACACUGGGACUGAGACACGGCCCAGACUCCUACGGGAGGCAGCAGUCGGGAAUCUUGCACAAUGGGCGAAAGCCUGAUGCAGCAACACCGUGUGAGCGACGAAGGCCUUAGGGUCGUAAAGCUCUGUUUGCGAGGACGAAGGGCGAAGGGUUAAUAGCCCCUAGCCUGACGGUACUUGUACAGAAAGCCCCGGCUAACUACGUGCCAGCAGCCGCGGUAAUACGUAGGGGGCGAGCGUUGUCCGGAAUUAUUGGGCGUAAAGGGCGCGUAGGCGGCCUGGUAAGUCUGCUGUGAAACCUUGGGGCUCAACCCCAAGCGUGCAGUGGAUACUGUCAGGCUAGAGGAUGGUAGAGGCCAGUGGAAUUCCCGGUGUAGCGGUGAAAUGCGCAGAUAUCGGGAGGAACACCAGUAGCGAAGGCGGCUGGCUGGGCCAUUCCUGACGCUGAGGCGCGAAAGCUAGGGGAGCGAACAGGAUUAGAUACCCUGGUAGUCCUAGCCGUAAACGAUGAACACUAGGUGUGGGGGGAGUCGAAUCCCUCCGUGCCGAAGCCAACGCGUUAAGUGUUCCGCCUGAGGAGUACGGCCGCAAGGCUAAAACUCAAAAGAAUUGACGGGGGCCCGCACAAGCAGCGGAGCAUGUUCUUUAAUUCGAUGCAACGCGAAGAACCUUACCUGGGCUUGACAUGGCACUGCAAGCGCACGGAAACGUGUGACCUUCGAGGGUGUGCCACAGAUGCUGCAUGGCUUGCUCAGCUCGUGUCGUGAGAUGUGGGUUAAGUCCGCCACGAGCGCCACCCCUGUCGUGUG
rnacentral:rRNA from 1 species